UGACGUCAAGGUCCUCCAGUCGCGCCCUCGCUCACGCCACGCCCCCAUCAUAUUUCAGCAUCAUUUGGUGCCAAAAUUUCGUGAGUACGAAGCUCGGACGUCAUCGGUCACGUGGACGGUCAUAUAUAAAAGCGGCAACACGCGCUUUGUGAAAGUCAAAAGAGCGUUGACGUUGUCCAGCAAAGAUCCAGUCAUUGGACUGUGCAGCCAGCAGAGCGAGAUGCCGCACCGUCGCGGUGGAGACGGUGACUUUAAGUUUGCGCCAAACUACUAGAGUUGUCGGUUCAGCGACCCGUUCGCCCGGGCAGAGGAGUACCAUGAUUUCCAGACCAAGCCUCCCAAGUCCUGCCUUAAGGCUCCGGCCUCCUCGCCUCGCUUCUGCCCACCAACAACAAGGAUGAGAGCACCUCCAGCAACACCUCAUGUGUGUUGAAAUGAACUGACACCAGGGGACCAGAGCAUCUGAUGCUUUUCGCAAUAAAGGAUAGGGGUACUGCAACAACCUUAACAGCUUUGAUAUCCUUCCCACAUUAUGGUUUAAACAAGCCAAGAACAGCAAAGCCAUGACUGAAAUAACCAAAGGCCAUCUGACUUCAUCACAAGCCAGGCUGGAUUAACUAUCAGGGGGUCAGAGACGGACCAGAACAGCAACGGAAACCCCAAGGCAAGACUGGCAUAUGCAAAAGAGAGGACAGUGCCACUGGAGCCAGUGAACCAUAAACCCCCUGCUAGGCUUGAAUGUUACAUAAACUCUGAAAUGCAGAUUCACACACAUGAACACCACCCUGCCUACUUAGAAAGGAAUUAAUUUUUCCGAAGUGGCUCCUGUCCCCUCACAUGUUUUCUGUGUGUACUUGUAAGGAACUGUGGUUAAGUCAUCCAUGAAUCAUAAACAUAAACCAGGGAGUCACAAGAGACAGAUUACAUAAUUGAGUACAAUCAUGACUUUGAUGAGUUUUGUUGGGCACAUUAGUCAUUCACCUGGUCAUAAAUCCAGUUUUACAUGAAACGGCUAAUGACCUUCAGGGAAUAACCAUCACUGUCGAUCUACUUCUCAAUUCAACAGCAAUUUGUCAUGUAGUAACAUGAUUUGGAUGAGAGUCGUCAUUCAUAUCACCCUUUUGAUUAGUUUGACCUUGACUGACAGUGCAGCAGUACUUUUCCACACAUUCAUUAUGCUUCUUGUUUUUGUUACUGCGCCCUCUUCCUGGAACAGAUGAUCAUCACAUCUUGUAAACUUACCAAGCUGCUGUGACAGUAAACACACCAAAAUGCCGGCAUAACAAUGGCAGAAAUAAAUAUAGAUUCAGGUCCACGUUAUUAUGGAUUAGAAUUAGAGUUAAGACCUUCAGGAGUUUCAUUUUGAUAGAUUUAACUUUCUUUGAUUGAGAGGCCAUACUGUGAUUGGCCACACCCACACAGACAAAUCCAAACUCACUUUGUGUUUUGACAACAACUGGGCUCUAAACAACUCUUAUUGAUAGUAACACUUACCAUAGAUAUUUUUUCCCCAUGGUCCACCUCUAAAAACGAGUCGUGCCUUAGGCACAGGCUUACACAGGCCUACACCCAAAUACAUGAUCAUUGAGUCUCAAAGAAACUUAAUUGUUCUUUGAUAGAUAGCUACUUAAAAUUUCAUAAUAAAGCCAUUCAACAGUUUGUGAAGACUGU